AGAGGGAAGCAAGAUAGUGAUAUUAAGCAAAACCCAAAAAGCAGUCUCAGUUCGGAUUGAAGGCUGAAAUUCGCCUUCAUGAAGCCGGAAUUGCUAGUAAUGGCAGGUCAGCAUACUGCCGUGAAUACGUUCCCGGGCCCUGUACACACCGCCCGUCACACCAUGAGAGUCGGGGACACCCGAAGUCCGUAGUCUAACCGCAAGGGGGACGCGGCCGAAGGUGGAUUCGAUAAUUGGGGUGAAGUCGUAACAAGGUAUC
rnacentral:rRNA from 1 species